GACGGGACCCGCACAAGCGGUGGAUGAUGUGGUUUAAUUCGUAUGCAACGCGAAAACCUUACCCACCUUUGACAUGUACGGAAGCCUUUAGAGAUAGAGGCGUGCUCGAAAGAGAGCCGUAACACAGGUGCUGCAUGGCUGUCGUCAGCUCGUGUCGUGAGAUGUUGGGUUAAGUCCCGCAACGAGCGCAACCCUUGUCAUUAGUUGCUACAUUCAGUUGAGCACUCUAAUGAGACUGCCGGUGACAAGCCGGAGGAAGGUGGGGAUGACGUCAAGUCCUCAUGGCCCUUAUAGGUGGGGCUACACACGUCAUACAAUGGCUGGUACAAAGGGUUGCCAACCCGCGAGGGGGAGCUAAUCCCAUAAAGCCAGUCGUAGUCCGGAUCGUAGUCUGCAACCCGCCUGCAUGAAGAUGGAGUUGCUAGUAACCGCAGGUCAGCUAUACUGCGGUGAAUACGUUCCCGGGGCUU
rnacentral:rRNA from 1 species